rnacentral:lncRNA from 1 species
UUUAGAUUGAGUUUGACUAAAACCAAAACCCAACCCACAUAGAGAAUAAUAGUUUGGGUGAGAUAAAAUAACUACCCACAACAUCAUUGAGUCGGUUUGGGUAAAACCAUAAAUUUUUGGGUUGAAUUGGGUUUGGAAGUGUUUUUUUUUUCUCUUUUCUUUUUCUUCUUCUUAUAUCUUCAAGAACAUUGUUCAAAUUAUCUUCUACAAUUCAAAAAGAAGUAUUAAC